UAAAGAAAGUCAUCUAAAUGACCCUGCACAUUGAAUCAUGGGGUAUAAUACAAGUAGUUUUAUUUUGAUGCAACGUACAUUUGAGUUGGUUGAACCAAGACAUUUUUUUUUAUCUUAGACAAUGACUCCUUUGGCAUUUACAAUGAUAAAGACUAUGUCCUCAAAAUAUCCUUGUCCCUUUCUAAAAGAUUAACAAUAAAAUCCCCCCUCAUCCCUCUUCACAAUUCCUUCAUCUUUUCAAUUUCCACAAAACUCUCUCACAAAUAAUAAAUAACACACAUUUAUAGCCACAAUCAUUCACCAUACCCACUAUAUUGAUCUCAAUGUUCUUCAUUCCAUUGUCAAUGUGGUUUUUUCAUGGUGUGGUUCAACAUUGAAGAUGAUGAUGGUAAAAGAGAGCACUAGUACUAGUAGUGGAUGCAUGAUUAGGUACUCUUUCUUGAUUUUGGUUCUUCUGGCUUUGUCAAUUCUACUUUUACCUUUGGUGAUGCCUCCUCUACCACCACCACCUUUGAUGUUUCUCUUUGUUCCUGUUUUUAUAUUGUUGCUUUUAUUUUUCUUGGCAUUUUCACCUUCUACCGUUCCAAAUAUGGCUUCUUUUGUAUCUUGAUCACUUGUAACAAUUAACUAAUUAAGCAUAUAGCUAGCAUUUUCAAAUCUAUACUGUUAUGCACUUGUAAUUAAGUUUGAGGAAGAUUAAUUUGUGUGGAAUAUGAUUUUCUUAAGUAUCAUCUUGAAGAACUUAAUUAUGAGGUAGUAUUCAAUUUUGUACUUGUUAAGGUUUUCCUAGUCAAUAAUUAUAUACCCUUUUGGUUAUAUUAUAUGAGUAUACUCUUUUGGUUCUUUUCUAUGAUACAAUGUUAACCAGAAAAAAUGUUAAUCUUAUGAAACAGAAUAAUUAACCAAAUGGAGUGUUUAAUGGGAACAAAUUGGAAUCAAUAUUGAAAUUUAUGGUUUUCAUAAUAGAAUAAGAUAGUUUGUAUUUGAAGACAUACAAGACAAUGUAGGAUACAAAUGAGUUGCGGAUUAAACCACUCUUUUUAAGACAUUUCGCAUAACUGUCUAAAAUUGUGCAAGACAGAUUAUCAAUCACGAAGUUCCUCUAAUAAAAUAACUCACUUACACUAUAUUUGUUUUACUUCUGCACUGCACUCCAAUGCACUGCAUUGUUGAAAAUUGUUCUAGAAUUACACAAUUUAAAUAUGACGGUUAUAACUACAAGAACUAUGAUAUUAUGAGCACUCAGAAAUCUGAAAGGACAAAUCAUUUUAGGUAAAGAGACAGAAAUAAAAUUUAGGACGAAGUUGAACAAGAAUAAGUUGGUAUAUUUACUAAACUGAACAUAGUCAUCUAUUUAUUAAAGAGUUUUGCAACUAACUGGAGCACAAAACGCGGCCCUUUUGAUCGGAUUUGCGAAACUAUUGUGCAUCCAAUUUAAUCUGAUCAUCAAAACGAUCACGUAAAAAUGAGAAGAGUUGAACAGAUCAGUUGUUGACUGUUGGACUCGGUGGAUGGCACAGAAUCUAUGUGUAAAACAGGUCAAAAAAUCACAAAGGGAAAAACCCUUGAGCAAAUAGUCCACAAUAUUUGUGAACCCAUCUUUCCUCUUCAAUUUGUGGUGUUGGUCCUGUAUCUUAAUAUGAGCAUAGUGCGUUGUCGAUUUGCAGACGUUAGCUCCGCCGUUAAACUAAAAAAAAGAAAGGGUAUUUAGCAGAUAUUAGAGACCUUAUUUUUACGCGUUUAAGGAGUUGAGGCAUUGGGCGUCCAACUUUUGAAAUUUAAAUUGAUAAACUCUGUACCAUAUAAGAUUUGUUUAUAUUAUAAAACCUUACUUCUAAAUAAUAUCUCAUUUUAUAAUCUAUUUGGAACAUGCGUUUUCCGUAUAACUUUUAUUUUCCCUGCAAAAUUAAACAGAAUAUUUUAAAGCUAGUCCAUACUCCAUACUAGACGGUCUUGAAAUGUGUGGAUUAUUUGCACUGUUUUCUGUGUGGGAUGAAUGGGAGGGACCAAAUAAGGAAAAAUGUACGGACAAUUAUAAUCAGCCCAGCACUUCCCAACUUGCCCAAAUAUACAUCAAUUUAGUAAUCACCUGUGUAAUUCAAAUACAACUUUUAUAUAUAUAAUAUAAAUUGUAAUGUUUUUUAUUUUUUAAGAUUAAAAAAAAUUAUACAGAUUUUUUUCAUUAAUUAUUUUAAACAUAUAUUUCAAUAAUCACUAAAAUAAUUGAUAUUACAUGAUAUUAACUAUCUUAGAAUAUUUAUUUUAUCUUUAAAUUUUAAUACUUUAAAGUAGUUAACGUCUUACAUUUUAAUGAUUAAUUACUUAUAUUUUAGUGAUUAAUAAAAUAUUUAAAGUGAUUAAAGAUAUAAAUAAUUUUUUAAAAAUAUUUUCUUUAAAUAAAAAAAAAUACAAUUCACAAUAUAAAUAUGGUGAACAGUACCUAUAGAGUAUUAUGUCAAUUUUUUAUUUCAAUAAUAUCAUUUUUUGUUAAGUAAGUAUUUGAGUAGGUUGACAAGUUAUUAUGCAAUUCAUCGGAGGCGUUUUGAUUAAAAAUCACAUUACAAUUUUUAAUGCAUUUUUUUUUAUCUUACUCUUUAAUUAAUUCUAUUUACAUUAUUUUCAAUACAAUAUUUUUUAUUAUGCAUUUAUAACAUUGAUAAUACAUUAAUAACUAAUAAAAAUAAUUUAUUAAAAAUAAUAUAUUAUUUAUAUAUUUUUCUUAAUAUAUGUAAAACAGCUAAAUGGCUUAAUUAUUUGAAAUGGGAAAAGUAAAUUAGCAUAAUGCAUUGUAUUUGUAUAAUAAAAUAAUAAUUUUGUAUAAUAAAGUCAUGAUUGGUUGAAAGAAGCUAGCAUCGUACCCUUCCAUUCACCAUUUUCACAAAGGCACUCUAUUGAUCCUAUUUAAAUCAUAUACCAACCUUUAGCACUAUAUACAACAUCAACAUCAUUAAAUAUCAUUAAGAAUGUAGUAUUGGGAAGACUUGUUGUCAAGUGUGAAGCUUAGUUAUGAUAGGGAAAAACUACGGUCAUCGAUCCCAAAUAAUUUAAUAUGUAUAAUAAUUUGCAUAAUUACAUGUAUGCAUAAUUUAUUUAAAUACGUAUUGUUGAAAUAUAAUAAUAUAGAGUUAUUGAUAGUCUCAUUAUUUUAUUUUUAGGUAUUGGAUUGAAGAUAACGGCGCUUAUUGAAUUCACACUAUGAUUAAAAAGUUAUAAAAUAAAUUAUACCUACAUGUAAAACUCAUUUAAACAUCCAAUAUUACUUAUUAUUUUGUGAAUAUUUAC
rnacentral:lncRNA from 1 species